UGGGGUGUAGCUUAGUGGUAAAACAUAUGCUUAACGUGCAUAAGGCCUAGGGUCCAAUCUCUAGCAUCCAAA
rnacentral:tRNA from 1 species